AACGAACGCUGGCGGCAUGCCUAACACAUGCAAGUCGAACGAGACCUUCGGGUCUAGUGGCGCACGGGUGCGUAACGCGUGGGAACCUGCCCUUAGGUUCGGAAUAACUCCCCGAAAGGGGUGCUAAUACCGGAUAAUGUCUUCGGACCAAAGAUUUAUCGCCUUUGGAUGGGCCCGCGUUGGAUUAGCUAGUUGGUAGGGUAAAAGCCUACCAAGGCGACGAUCCAUAGCUGGUCUGAGAGGAUGAUCAGCCACACUGGGACUGAGACACGGCCCAGACCCAGAGGGGGGGAGGAGGGGGGGAAUAUGGAAAAGGGGGCAAGGGUUUGAUCCAGCAGUGCCGGGGGAGUGAGGAGGGCGUGGGGGUGAAAAAGUUUUUUAACGGGGAAUGAUAAGAAGGUUCCGGGAAAAAAAGCCCCGGGCAAGCUCGGGG
rnacentral:rRNA from 1 species